AGGCGGGCAGCCCUGUGCCAGCUCCCAGCCGGAUAGUAAAUAUUCAUGAUAAGACCGUGAGGUGAAAAACUGCAUUGCCGAUGAGUUUUAUUAUUCAGGGAUGAGUGAAUCUGAGGGUUGAUACUAUGUCUAUGGAAAAAAAAGGAAAAAAAAAAGUCUGUUCCUCCAACACACCACUGAUACUGAUCUUUUGGAUAGUUCCAGAAGAGAAGUGAUGGGAACCAGUCACAGGCAAAUUCAGGGAUGUAUCAG